rnacentral:lncRNA from 1 species
UUGGCGCUUAAACAAGCCAGGUGAAGCUUGGAGUGAAAGCGGGUCAAACGAGUCAAGCAUAGAAGAAAAGCGUAGCUCGGAUGCAAGGUGAAUGUCGAGAGUGCACGGAUGAAGAUCAAGCGUCGAGCAAGAACCGAACACGAUUAUGAAAUAAGCUUCCGCGCUAUGUAUCGUUAUUAUGUUAAACGACGAACGUACACGUGAUAUGUUGUAUACUUUUAAAUUGUAAAAAGUUUUUAACAAACCCGUAAUUUCCAAUGCAUAUAUAAUCUUAAUUACAUGAUUGUUU